GAUGAACGCUGCGGCGUGCCCAAUACAUGCAAGUUGAGCGAACAGAUGAGGAGCUUGCUCCUCUGACGUUAGCGGCGGGCGGGUGAGUAACACGUGGAUAACCUACCCAUAAGACUGGGAUAACUUCGGGAAACCGGAGCUAAUACCGGAAAAUUUAUUGAACCGCAUGGUUCCAUAGUGAAAGACGGGUUUGCUGUCACUUAUAAAUGGAUCCGCGCCGCAUUAGCUAGUUGGUAAGGUAACGGCUUACCAAGGCAACGAUUCGUAGCCGACCUGAGAGGGUGAUCGGCCACACUGGAACUGAGACACGGUCCAGACUCCUACGGGAGGCAGCAGUAGGGAAUCUUCCGCAAUGGGCGAAAGCCUGACGGAGCAACGCCGCGUGAGUGAUGAAGGUCUUCGGAUCGUAAAACUCUGUUAUUAGGGAAGAACAAAUGUGUAAGUAACUAUGCACGUCUUGACGGUACCUAAUCAGAAAGCCACGGCUAACUACGUG
rnacentral:rRNA from 1 species